rnacentral:rRNA from 1 species
AGAGAAAUCUGAAUUAAUACCCCAUAGUUACAUUGAAUCGCAUGGUUUAAUGUAUAAAGCUCCGGCGGUAAAGGAUGGGCAUGCGUUACAUUAGCUAGUUGGUGAGGUAAUGGCUCACCAAGGCUACGAUGUAUAGGGGUUCUGAGAGGAUGAUCCCCCACACUGGUACUGAGACACGGACCAGACUCCUACGGGAGGCAGCAGUAGGGAAUAUUGGACAAUGGACGCAAGUCUGAUCCAGCCAUGCCGCGUGCAGGAUGACGGCCCUCUGGGUUGUAAACUGCUUUUAUAUGAGAAGAAACCCUCAGAUGCGUUUGAGGCUGACGGUAUCAUAUGAAUAAGGAUCGGCUAACUUCGUGCCAGCAGCCGCGGUAAGACGAAGGAUCCAAGCGUUGUCCGGAUUUACUGGGUUUAAAGGAUGCGUAGGCGGACAUUUAAGUCAGUGGUGAAAUCCCAUAGCUCAACUAUGGAACUGCCAUUGAAACUGUAUGUCUUGAAUUCGGUUGAGGUAGAUGGAAUAUAACAUGUAGCGGUGAAAUGCUUAGAUAUGUUAUAGAACACCGAUUGCGAAGGCAGU